ensembl:lncRNA
UUUUACCUCGUACUGCGUUGUUAAACACAGUCUUCUAUUUGGCAAGAAGCCCAUUUGAUGGUGAGAAAAUGUACAUAUUGUUUUAAUGAGGAUUUUAGAACAGUCCCAUUGAAGAUCUGUUGCCAGUUGGAUGGAAACCUAGCUGACAUCAGAGAGAAGCUGCUGAUGCACAACCACAUGUGUAUAAAUGGCACCUGGAGCAUUCUAUUAUUCUAACUAAUCAACAAGAAUAAGUUGAGACUCUGAGUUCCAUGUAACAAAAAACAGCCAGCCGGCCACCCGUUUCCCAUCCCUGGUUCUAUCAUUAUUAUUCAUGGCACACAUCCCAUUUUCUAACACUACCCUGCUGCUACCACCAAAGCCUUCGUGCAUCCUAAAUGGUGCCCUGUAUAGUGAAUACAUGGACAAGGUAGUGCACUGAAUACGGUUCAAUUUGGGACACACUUAGACAAAUUUCCCAAGGGGCAUAUUCGAGCAGGAAGCAGUUUCCUGCCCAUGAAUCCUCUUAACAAGGUAUUAAACCUGCAUACGGACAGACAGAGUUAGGGGACACCAGAGUUAGGACACCAGAGUUAAGGACACCAGAGUUAAGGACACCAGAGUUAGGGACCAGAGUUAGGGACCAGAGUUAGGGACCAGAGUUAGGGACCAGAGUUAGGGACCAGAGUUAGGGACCAGAGUUAGGGACCAGAGUUAGGGACCAGAGUUAGGGACAGAAGUUAGGGGACAGAGGUACCAGAGUUAGGGGACAGAGGUACCAGAGUUAGGGGACAGAGGUACCAGAGUUAGGGGACAGAGGUACCAGAGUUAGGGGACAGAGGGACCAGAGUUAGGGACCAGAGUGACAGAACGUAUACUAUAUCAAUAGACGUACUUGUCUGGGUGCAUCUCAAGUCUUACGUAGCUUCGUCAAUCCCUUUUCCUCGUUUCUCCUGGCUGACUAGGUCCAUCCAUGCAUACCACACUGACUCGACUAUUGUUUAGCCUACAUUAAAAACGUUCUAAAACUUCCAUUCAGGACGACUGAAUGUUUUCCUGUCUGAACAGUGUUCAUACCAGAUGGUACGAUUAGGCUUAUACCUAGAACACGUGUCACACACCCGGUACAUAUUAGCUCUCACAGUUGAUAUGUCUAGCUUUAAAAAGUAAAGGAACUUAGUCAUAACACACAUCUGACUUAUUACCCUAGUUCAGUCCAAUCUUAUGAGUUAUUACUUAUGCAACCCACUCUAAUAAGUGGUUUGAGAGAAGAGCGUACCACACAAAGUCAAUAUGCUGACGAAUUAAAGAGAGACUCAAGCUUUCCCCUCAGAGCUCACACAAACCUGGCACCUCUUCUUGGUUUUACAAACGUUGUAAAUACUUGCGGAGUGAGCAUUUCAACAUCAACCAAAAAAACAUCCAGCCUUAAAAAGGCAAGCAGACCAAAUAAUAUCCCAGCUUCAUAACCAGCUCAGGGAUCAAAUAUCUACCAAAUCUGUGCUAAUAGUUUAACUAUUUAGUGUGUCUAAGAGAACCCUUUCAGCAGGUCCACAUCCUCACCUAACUAGCCAACAUCCUGAAAUGCCCUUCCAAACAGACAAUACGGUCUAUAGAGGGAGGACAGAAAGAAAUGGGGGUUACAGAUACUGAGAACACAAUGUAGCAGCGAGACAUGGGGCAUAAGGGGUUCCAGACGCCACUUGGAAGGAUGAGCCUCAUGAGGCUUAGAUAAGGGGAUUGAUUGAGUCCAGGUUGGGAGAAAGAGGUCACUGUAUAUCCUGACAGGAGACUUUCAACAGACGAGGUGUCUAAACCAAUUACAGGUGAUAAUAAGAACAAUAAUCUUGUAAGCAUUGUCAAUCAGUCUAAGUACAAACUAGCUUCUCAGAGUUAAUGUCCCAGUCUGGAUGAGUAAUGUGCAGCUGUAGCCUACAACUUUAACAUUUGUCCUCCAUGCUUUGUUCACAGUAAAUACUAGGCUAACUAACUGAUGCUUAUACCCACUUUUUUUUUUUUACUUUUCAGGAAAUGUAGGCUGGAGAGUAGGGCUGGAUAUGCCAGGGACUUUAUGAUACGGCAUUAUCACAAAAAAAUGUUUUCUGUCGAUACGAUAUGUAUCGCGAUUCUAUAUGUAUCGCGAUUUUAUUACUGUGAUUUUAUUGCAAGUCAGUGUUCCAAACAUAUGUUGCUCACCAUAUGUCUGUCUGCUGCAGAGGGACAAGACAAUGGAAAACAUGUUGAUCAGUCAUGGAAAUAAAAGUUCUGAAAACAAAUUGGCUCCUUAUUUAAAAGGGGGGGAUACUAAAAAAGGGGGGUACUUUGGGAUUUUGGCAAUGAGGCACUUUAUCUACUUCCCCAGCAUAAAAGAGUCCGCCUGACUCUGGGGAAGGAGGUAAAGGAGUCCGCCUGACUCUGGGGAAGGAGGUAAAGGAGUCCGC